GGGGAUGACCUGGCUUCGACGGGGGUAGCGAAGUAAUUAGAGCGCAUACCGUGAUCGCAGAACACGUUAAACACUGUAAAAAACUUAAAUGCAAACACAUUUAACAACGUAGAAGUUGCGUCUAACGACGAAACUUUUGCUUUAGCAGCUUAGUUCUGCUAGCGCUAAACUUAACUUGUCUAUUGGUAUAAGUUUUAGCGUCAAAGGAAAUAGACUUUGAGAAGGACUGACCGCUUGUCCCGAUCGAAACUAAUAGCGAUUAGCUCAGAUUAAGCCUGUUAGGCCGGCGUUUUGUGAGCGAAACUCAAAAGACCUGACUAAGUAUGUAGGACUCGUUAUAGAGGACUUUCGGACGGGGGUUCAAUUCCCCCCAUCUCCACCA
rnacentral:tmRNA from 1 species